UCAAAUAAAAUUAUCAAAAAGUUUCUCAUUAUUUGAUCUGUUAGUCAAUUGCGUCCUAAACGUUAACUUGCCAUUAACGGUGUUGAUGUGUCCGUUUAACUUGCCACUUGAGCUGCUUUCUUGUCCGUCCACGUUGGCAAGGGACUAAAUUGCAUAUAGGACAACAUUGCAACAACCAUCUGUCUUUCCCUUCCAUCUUCUUCAUCACCCAAUUCCAAAAUUAUCUUUUCAUCUAACCCAACAACCAGAUUAUCAAUCUCCUUAAAAAAUCAUAUGUUCCUCAUACCAAAGUUCACAACGAACACCCUUUUUUUUUUUUUUGAAUCGGCAAAAUUUAUUAGCCAAGAAGGUGGAAGAACCACCAAAACUUGGAACACAAAGAGAGAAAAUACAAAGGUGUCGAAUACAACGUGCACCAAUGUCAUAAUAUGUAACUUCUCCUUCUUCCAAUUAUUAGUUGUGGGGAUCAAUUUUGUUGUUCUAUCACUGAUAUCUUUUGAUUGGAAAAUGGAGUUGUUCUAAUCUCGUUCUCCUCCUUCUAGCGGUGGUUGCCUUGUUUUAGGAUAAGGGUUGUUUUGUCCUUGAAGCUGCGUUCUGGGUUUGUGUGUUGUGAUUGGAUUCGCUCAGAUUUGCGAAUUUUCUCAACGUUUCUGCGAUUGAUGCUGGGUUCUGUUUUAAAACCACUGGUUGUCCUUUGUUUCUUUGGUUUGGUUUGAUUAUAGUUGUGUUGGGUUUUUGAGAGAAAUUUGGGAAAGAAAAGAGAGUUAACUAGUGUUGCUACACCCAUCAAAAAUUUGCUAAAGUAGCACUUACGGGGAUGUAAGAGAGCGACAACCUUAUUGUUGUUGUUGUUGAGAGUAACAACAACAAAUUUCUGAUUAAAUUUUCAUCCAUCAACCUUCUUUUAUCAUUCCAUAAUCAACAACAACAGAGAUUUCAACUUCAUCAACACCAACAAUCACAACAACAAAAAAUAUCUAAUUAAAUUUUCUUCUUGGAUUCAAAGGCAUGAGUUUGAAUGUUUAUGUUUGAUGAUAAUUUCUUGGAGAAAAUAUACGGCGGAGAAGACGAAGUGGCUGAAGAAUUGGUGGUUGAGGAUUAGGCUUGAUCAAGUAGUAGAAUAGUUUAUGGAAUGGAUCUGUGAGAAAUUUCUUUUUAUGUGGAUGUCGUAAAAUGGUUUAGAAUUGAUACAUAUAUAUAUAUAAGAUAGGAUUUGGAUCCAGCUUCUGGGCUUUGAUGAACAGGUUAAGCAAUGGAUGAUGAAGGAGAAAGAACAUAUGAAUUUGCUUUUAUUUAGUUUUGAUGUUUUUCUGUUAUAAAAUUAAUUUUAAUUAAAAUAAAAGCCAACUAGACAUCCAAAAAUCAAACAAUUAAUUAAAAUAUUCUUGUGAGUGUGUCACAUCAACAUCAUUAAAUGACAUGCCAUCAAAGUUAACAGCAGGUUGACGUCUAGACGCAAUUGACUAUCGGAUCAAACAAUGAGGGACUUUUUGAUAAUUUUAUUUGAUUCAAAGACUAGUGUGAUAGCGAGAGACACUUUUAAGGACCCAAUAAAAAUUUACUACUUUACUCUAUUAAAAGCUCUGUCUAUCAAAAUCAUAUAAUUUACGUGCAAAUAUUGUGAGAAUAAAACGUAAUGAAUAUAUAAAGAAAAUUCAUAUAUAUGUAUAUAUAAUCAUGCAUAUCAAGCAUAAUCUCCCUAAAAAAAGCAGCAUAUAAUAUCAAAAUAAAACAUUAUGUUAUUGUAGAUAGGAUCUAAACAAUGCUUCCUGAUUCAAUACUCGUUAUUCUGUUGAAUGAAAAUUAAACUAAUACUAUUCCAUAACAUAAAUUUCAAGAAAUUAGAACUAGUUUUUUUUUUUUUUUUUUUUUCAAUCAAGAAACAGCAACUAAUGGAUUAUUUUUUUGAUGAGGCAAUUUUAUUUCAAAAGCCAAACCCUUUAGUAGACUACCACCAAAAGAUACACUAAAAACCAACAUACUCAAAUACUUCAAAACACAAAACCAAACACACCAAAAUAGUUUCCUUCCCAAAAACAAUAAAAUAAAAAACAAAUGCAUCAACACAAUAAGGUAGGAGCAAGCUGAUGAAAAUCACAGACCACAUAAGCAACAACGAGACAGAACUAGUGUACACAAAAAACCAACCACUCUAGUAAACAUUAAAUAACUUAUAAAAGAACUCCAAUUCAUGAUCCCACCUACAAUCUUCACACAAUGUCAUGUCAUCAUCUUCAUCCGGUAAAAACCAUGGACCUUUCUUCACUCUCCAUCCCUCGCAUGUGCUCUUCGAGUUGCAUAGAGCAAUUUGAUUGCGCAUUAACAUCCCAUUAUUUUUCCACAUAUCUUUUGUUAAAUAUUUAACCUUACUCCUUGAACUCACAAUACAUUUGGACUUCCUCAAGAAACGCAUAUGCUCAAGUCCUUGUUUUCUUGACUCAUGAUUUUCGGAACACAACAAGAUCAUACCAUACAUACAUGUAUAUGGCCUCCUUGUGACCUUUUUCAGCAGCAAUCUUUAAUCUCUCAAGACCAUCAAUAUUUCCAUUUGGAUAGCCAAAGUAUUCAAGCAAUCCUUCUCUAAAUAUUAUUUCCGUAUUUUCACUUUCUAAGCAACUUCUUAAAAAAGACGAUACGUUCUCAUUCAGAAACCAUUGGAUCAAUGGAAAAUUGUCGAAAGAAAUUUGUUGUAACACAUAUCAUUCUUGGGUGAGUUCAAGAAAAUAUUUGCAACAAACUUUCAUUUUAUGAAAGUCACUAAGAGAUUUAGCGGCUAUUGUUGCAAACACAUCGAUUAGCAAGUCUUUGGGAAUUGAUGGUACGGCCUCUAAAGAAGAUGGUGCAUGUUGUAUUUUGUUGCUUUUUCUCUUCAAUGUUUUGUUUCUUUUUCUCUUCAAUUUUCUUUUUGAUGGUGCCAUGGUUCAAGAAAAUUGAGAUAUUCGAAAACUAUAAAACAAGAGAUUUUGGAAAACUAUUAUAUAGAGAAGUUAUAUUUUGUCUUUUGUGUGAGCGUGUAGCGUUUUUUUUCCUUUUUCAUGCAAUAAAUUUAAUAUUAAAAAGUCAAUCAAAAUCUCCUAAAAUUUUGGUGUAUACUUCUUCGGAUCAAUCCUAGUUCCACACAAAUUUAACAUCUUUCCAUCAGAUCUCUGUAAUACAAGGACUAUAAAAAGACAAAUUUAAAUUGAUAUCCUUUUUUAAUUUUUUUUACAAGAAUUUUAAUUGAUAUCUAUCUAAAUAUUCCUGCACCAUCAAAUAUAUUACAUAUAUAGAUUUUAUAUUGUCAAAAAGAUUUAAAUUGUAUACUUUAUUAGUCUUUACCAAAACAGUUUUUAUAAUAAGUUUUUUUUUUUUUUGGUACAUUGUUUUUAUAAUAAGUUACCAGAUACCAAAAAGUACUUUUGACUGGAUCGCAUUUCUAAAAUUAGAAUAUACAUUUUUGUUUUACUAAAAAAAAAGAAUAUACUUCAACUCUGACUAAUUCUAACUCGGUUAAAAUUAAUUUCUCACGUUACCAAAUAUCAUUUUUUUUUAUGAGAAAACUAAUUGUGAUUUUUUUUCCUUUUUGAAUUUGUUUAAAUAAAUAAGUUUUUUUUUUAAGGAAAAUAAAUAAGUUUUUUUAGGAGGUUUAAAUAAAUAAGUUAGCAUAUAAAAAUUAAUUUGAGAAUAUUCAAAAUGCAUGGGAAUACAUUAUAUUUAAGUAAAUAAGUUACGAUUUACCCAAGAGCGUUUAGAUGAGAUGGAACAGGUCUCUUCUAGCUUAACCAAGGUCCUGGAUUCGAAUCCAGCCUUGGGCAUGCAACAACGUUAAAACUCUUAGGGAGAGCCUGACGCCCAUUUGGGUCUCACAAUGCUCGAGAGAUUAGUCUCCGCAGUUGCACGCCAAGGAUACCCAGUUUAUACCAAAAAAUAAGUUACGAUUUUAAUUAUUAGUAUGCUCUAUCAAUGUAUAAUUAUUUUAUACAUGCAUCAAACGAUGUGUUGUCACGUGAAUUAAUGAAUGUGAUAACUCGUGUUCUUCAAAUUCAUUAAUUCACGUGACAACACAUUAUUUAAUAUAUGUGUAAAAUAAUUAUACGCAGAGUAUACUAAUUAAAUUCUUAAGUUAUGUAUCGACGGUGAUAUACAAUCAAUUUAAUUUGGAUAUAUUGAUAGUGUAAAGUUUUUACUCAUGCAUAAAUUCAAAUCAUGCAAUUUAAAUAUUUGUAGAUACAUUUGUUGAACUAACCUAUAAAAUACGAUGUCAUUUGAUUAAAUGCGUUUGUAAAAAAUUAUAUGAAUUUCACUCAAAAAAAAAAUUGUAUGAAUUAAUCUCAAAUAUAUUUGAUACUAAAUAUUUGUUUUAAAUAAACGUAUAUAGAGAUAUAAUACACUUUAUCUUUCGAAUUAUAUUGGUUAUAAUAUUAACAGAAAAAAAUUAAGCAAUAAAAUUAAUCACUUGUGAUCUAGUUCUUUUGUAGCUCCUGUUAGUGUAGUGCUUGUUCUGUUGUUGGCUUGUUCAUGGGUCCUCCUUCUGCUCUGAUUUGGGUGGUUAUCAAUAAAAUGUGCAGAUUAAAAAAUUCAUUAUUGAACAUUAAUUAAGUAAAAAUAAAUAAUUAAUAACAAACUUAACUUAGUGACUAUAAUUCACCUUUUAAGAGAUGUUCAGGAUUCGAAAUCCGACUCAUGUAUAUAACGAUGCAUUUUCUCUGCCAACUAAGUUAUACUCGCGAGAACAAUAAUAGACUUGAUUAUUUUCGCAAAGUAUAUUAACUAAUUUACUAAUAGCCAACAUUUAAACCUAAUCUAAUUUUUAAUUGAAUUUGUGAUGGCGACAAGAGAGACAUAAUAUAAUAUACUAUAUAUUUUGUCUUAUAGUUAAAAAGACGGUAGAAUAUAAGCUUACAUGGUUUAAGCAUGUAAAUAUAAAUUAUAUAUAAAUAAACAUCAUGUAUAAUUUUAUUAUUACAAGUAUAAUUUUGUCUUGGUAUAUACUAUAAAAAAAAUAGUAUCAAUUGAAAUUAAAAUAUUUAAAAUCCAAAAUAAAAUUAUUAUAAUUGAAGAUAAAAAGAUGUAAAGAUUAAUUUAAUCUUUUAACAAAAUAAAUAUUGGUCUUGCUAAAGAUUUUUAUAUGGAUAAUGUUUCAUGUACACAUUUUUUUCCAUACACACAUUGUACCACUCCAUGUGAGAGUGUGUGAGAGACAAUACAUGUGAGUUUUUUUGUGUGUGGGAGACCACAAGAACACUUGUCAAAAUUGUGUGUGGGUGUACAAGUGGUACAUGCCACCUAAGAUGGUCUAUGUAUCACUACUCUUUUUAUAUAGUCCUUGCCAGCGGUGUAACCGAGUAAACACACGUGUUGGAUGACACUAAGUCUUGGUCAAUUCAGAGAAUGGGUUGGUAUCAGAGGUUUAUUUGUGUUAUGGGUUAGGCUACUAGAUAGAAAUAUCGCUAAUCAAUUGAGCUUAGGGUUGAAUAUAUAUAUCUAGUAUAUGCUGGUCUAUAACCCCAAGCAUGAAACCUAGAUAGAUAUAUGGAUGAAAUGCUAAAGACAACCAGAUAAUUCCCUUGUUUUUUUUUUAACAAAACAUGAGCCAUGUUUAAGGUUGGACACCUGAGAUAAUAUGUUAAAGACUGAACAACGUAUGACAGUCCACAACCCCUUAAACAUGAUCCUGAAUGGAUGCAAUGCAAGACAACUAGGAAAUCUUGUUUAUGUUAAGUGCAACGUAAACAGGGCCGUCCCUAUAAAUCUAGAGGCUCGGUUCUAAUUGUAAACAUAGGCCCCGUAUUAAAAGAAAAACAUUAUUUUUUCUUAAGAGAAAAAUGUUACAAGUGUUUUUAAAAAAAAAAGAAAAAAAAAAGUUAUAUUGUGUUUUUAAGGGAUAAUAGAGUAUUGAUGAUAUUUGGCCUAAAUUGAGACCCAGUCUUACCAAAAAAAGCUUAAUUAUAGUAAAAAAAAAAAAAAAAUAAAUAAAAUUUAUGAUACUCCUGAGUAUUGAAACCACAACUUCUGCUAUACAUACGUGUGUUUCUACCACCAAACCAGCAUAACAUUUCUGAUAUAUUUACGUAUUUAUCGUAUAUAUUACACUUUUUCAUUCAUUGUACUAAUAAAAAAAAAUAUUUGGGCCUCCAAAUUUGGGAGACCCAGCUCGGUAGAGCUGUUUGCACCCCCAAAGGGCCGGCCCUAAACGCAAGGUAUAUUUUGGUGUUUGAGGUCAUGGUGUCAUAUUUAACAAGUAUAUAGUUUUUGAGACAUUCAUCAUAGUAUGAAAGUUACCUUAAAACACAACGUUAGAACUUGGCUUCAACUUUUAAAUGAAAUAGUGCGUUUAGCUCAGCCCUGUUAGCUUUCUACAUGUAUGAUCGGACAAAAAAGGUACAACUAUUUGAUGAUAAUUUUUGUAACAAUCUUGUUUUGCUUUUUUAUGAUUGGUCAAAAUCAAUAUAUAUAUAUAUAUAUAUAUAUAUAUAUAUAUAUAGAGAGAGAGAGAGAGAGAGAGAGACUAAUGUAAAUAUAAAAGAAAAAGUUGUUAAAAAGACGUUAUCACAAAAUUGUUGUAAAAAUAUCACUUCUCAAAACAAAAUAGUUCAUGUCAUUCUUCGUCAGAGCCUUAAUAACAUAACCGUUGAGUGGUCUCAUAAAAACACUUAAUUCUCUACUAGUGAAAGACUUGUCAUUUCAUUUCCUGUGAUACUCUCUCAAACAUGCAUGAGUCGUUCCUAUCUACAAGGAAUUCACUUAAACCGAAUAUGCAUUCAUGCCCAUCCGAAAGGUUGGCUACUUUAAUAUCGAGAGUAACCUCUUAAUAAACCCGACUAAAGAUAAGAAAAGAAGAUUACAACUAAUAAGAACCAUACCAUCACAUCCACAACUAUAAAUAAGGGGCAUUGCCUUCCAAGUACGAUUACUUAACUUAUCUUAUAUAUACUCAUUAACCAACCUAUUUGCUUAAUUUGUUGUCUUUUUUAUAUAUAAAAGAAAAUAUCAUAUUGAAAAUUGUAUCUUCUACUUCUUAAGAGUUCAAAAAAAGUUCCUGCAAAAAAAAAUGAUGAAAAAAAUCUUUUUUCAAAGUAAAAUUUAUCUUUUUUUUUUAUUUUUAACUAAUGUCUUAGGGGCUUCAGUUAACAUGACCCUUAAACAUUUUCUUUUGUCGAUAGUCAAGAGAUUAGAAAUCUACAUUUUAAAUUUAGUAAGUAGAGAAUUUGAAGUUCAAACUCAAAUUCAUAAACUAUGCUUAUUGGAACUAAACAGUUUUUAAUGCAAUAAUAUGUUUUUUUUAGAGAAAUAAAAAAUGAGGGGAAAAAAUAAAAAUAAUAUUUAUUACAUAUUAUAAAUUUUAAAAAUAUAUUAGUAUAUAAAAUUAAUAUCCCUGAAAAAAAGUAUACAAAAUCAAUAAAUUAUGGAUUAAAUUGAUGAAUUAUUAAGGUUGAUCUUUGUUUCCGUCGUACAUGUAGUAACUGAAAGUGCAAGUCCCAACUGUAUAUAGUAGUGGGACCACAAAGUAUAACCGGUUAUCACUGACGUGGCAGCACCACAGUUUGCCAACUCGAACACAAAACCACCAAUGAAAGGCAUAUCCGUAAAUAACCGCAACUCCAUAUCCAUUCUUACAAAUAUUCAAACUCAAAACCAACCGUUUUCGCUCCAAAAAAACCACUUUCACUAUCUCUACUUAUUAUAAUAAAACAGUUACCAUUUCUUCUCUACGUUACCAAAACUAAUCAUUUGUCUCACACACACUAAUUUUGUCUUCAACUUGAAAAUGUUCCGUUUUCGUAUAAGCAACACCGUGGUCGGUGCACUCAACAUACUCUCCUUACUCCUCGGCCUCGCCGCUAUCGCUUCCUCCGCCUACAUCCACAUCAAAGGUGGUUCAGACUGCCAAAAGGUGCUUCAAUAUCCCCUCCUAAUCGGUGGUGUAUUCGUCGUGAUUGUGUCGGGACUUGGAAUCGCGGGAUCGUUGUUCGGAAUCAACACGGCACUCUAUGGUUACCUAUUGGUGACAUUCUUGCUUGUGUUGGGACUUGCUUUCUUCACUGUGUUUGCUUUGUUUGUCACCAAUAGAGGGGUGGGGAAACAGAUUUCUGGUAAAGGGUAUGGUGAGUAUAGGGUUGCUGAUUUCUCUCAUUGGUUGCAACGAUAUGUUGUGAAUGAAGAGAAUUGGGAUGAGUUCAAGAGUUGUUUGAAGGAUGCUCAUGUUUGUCAGAAUCUCGCCGUCAAUGGUGGCCGGAAUAACGACUCCCUCAUUUUCAAACACUUGUCUACCACCCAGGUUCAAUUUGUAACUUCAUUAUGAUGAAUUUUUUUUUAACGACAAAAUUUGUUGAAUUGAGAGAAUGGAAAAUAGUACAAAGUAGUAGUACAUCCAAAAUUUGAAAAGUCCAAUGUUUUUGGUCUAAAUUUUGCACCGGAUACAUUUUACUUUUUGAAUCUUUUGACGACGGAGAAGAUUAUUCUUUUUAAAUAAUUACAUAAAAUUUUAUUUCUUCCAUUGUUUUUAUCAAGCAAAAACGGAUAGAUAAUUGAUGGUUAUUGUUUUGUGGUGUUUUUAUUUUUUUAUUUUUUUACUUUUGCAGGCUGGGUGUUGUAAGCCACCGGUGUACUGUGGAUUUACAAUGAAGAAUGCUACAUUUUGGGAAGUACCAAAAUCAGGUUUGGCAGCAAAUAAUUCAGAUUGUGCAACAUGGAACAAUAGGCAGGAGAAACUGUGUUACGAUUGCAAUGCAUGCAAAGGAGGAGUUUUGGCCAACAUAAGGAACCAAUGGAGACAUUUAACUGUGUUCAAUGGUUUUGUGCUUGUACUCGUCACUGCCAUUUACGCCAUGGGGUGCUACGCGAUCAGGAACAAUCGAUUGGACUCUCGCAGCAAUCUUCCAUAAUUAGUUUUAUGUCUUCAAUUUGUUAUCAGGGACUAUGUAUUUGUUUCAAGUAUGGUUGUCUUUAAGAUUUGUGUUUAUUUUGUAUGGUCGUGUACUUUGGUGUUUUGGAUCUCCAGACAUUCAAUUUCCUUAACUUGUUUUUUCUUUGGUAACUUCUUAAGUCCCUAAGUUGUUAUAAUCAAUUUUCAUUCGGUAUCUAGCAGCAUUUAAAUUUGAAUUUUUUUGGUACAAAAUUUUGAAAAUUAAGUAACGUAUUUUUUGAAUUAACUUCGGAACUACUAUAAUCAACUCUUGCAAAUGUUAUUGUUGUUUGUGUGUUAGUUUUUCGAAUACCAUAUCAAAUCUUAUCAUUGAAUCAACUAUUGAUAAGUAAGUGUUGCAAUUUUAACUUUAAAUAGCAGCCUAGGAAUGAGCAGAAAUCACGGGGAUAUGUGUUUAUUAGAAUCCAAUCAUUACUUGUUGUUGUAAAUUGUUGGUAUCAAAUAUAAGCGACAUUCAAUUACAAAUAUAAGAUAAGAUAUGUAAGAAAAAUUUCUUCAAAAAAAUUAGGAAAUUUGCAACUUUUUUGGCUCCAAAUGCUUAAGAGAAUAAGAUGUGAGAUCAUUUUGUAAAAAAUAAAAUAAAAAAGGUGAUAACUUGUGUACCCAUCUCGCUAUGGUGGGUAUUUGUACCCAUGACCUUUUAAGUCAGCUAAAAUGUUAACCGACGUCAUAAGAUUUUUUUAUUUUUAUUUUUUUAUUUAUUUAUUUAGGAACGAGGUUUUCUCUGAUACCAGAGUUUUAGCAAAGUGCGGAAGACUUUUUCUAUAGACAAAUUUAAAUUCUUUUGUUUAGUUUUUCGAGUUGUAGAGAUAACUUGAGCUUUGUAAUUUAUUUAUCUCUUUUUGUUCUGAGAUUUCAAAAUCUCUUUUGGGUGGUGUUACUCUAAGGCUCUAAUUCCUUAUCAAUGGUUUUUAUGUUUCUUCGAAUAGAUAUUUCUCAGCUUCUAUCAAGGAAAAGCUAUUUCUUGCUAAAUUUCUAUAUAUACGUGACUUUAGGGUAACUAAAGGUUUAAAUAAUUCAUCAAUAUGAAUUGUAUUUUUUCCUAUAAAUUCUAUGGUGUAAAUUCUAUGCUAUGGUGUGAAUUACUCAAAGCAUAAUUAAUUCUAUAACAGAUUGUAAAAGGAUGAUUACCCUUUUUUAUAAAAUUCGAGUUUUCCAACUUAUAAUGAAAAACUAUAGAUUAAUCUAGAUGUUUAUCUUUUAGGGAUAUCCCAUUUGUAAAUUUAUAUCAAAUUUUAUUUUUUCAUAUUUUAAAUUAUAGUUUACUUGUGCAAUUUUUGCUUGUCUUUUGUCUAAAAUCGUAGAGUCUUCUAGCGCUAUUUCUAGAGGUGAAUCAAUACCUUUCAUAAAGGUACUUUUGAUUAAAAUUUGAAUAGUUGAUAUAUGAAUAUAACCAAUUUUGCUUUUUUCUUUUUCAGAAAAUGUUUCAAUUCUUUUUUCAAUUUGAGUUUUAUGUAUGGUAGAUAUGACUAUAUUUCCUUGAGUGUUUUCAAUUGAAAUUGCUUCUUCUCCUAUCAUUAUUCCAAAUUUCAAAAUAUUUUUUCUUGAGAAAAAUUCUUUGAAUUUAUUAAACUUUCUUUUGAAAUUUUCUUCAGUAGUUAAAGAUAAAUCUGCUUCUUCUAUAUUAUUAUCUAUUAUGUCAUCAACAUAAUAACUAGAUGUUCCUUCAAAGUAUGAAACCUCAGUCAUAUUCUAUAAUGUUUAUUAUGUCAAUACUAUGAUACUGAAAAGUAAAUUUUGAAUUUAAUAAAGAUAUAUUCAUACCUGAUUUGAUCUUCUUUGAGAUUUUGUUGAUAUUUUUGGUUUCGUUGUAGCUAGAUAUAAUCUUCGAAUGAUUAUAUUUUGUAAGGGUGAGACUAACUUUCUCUAAUUCUACGUUGUAUAAUUCUGAAAUUAAGUUUAGCAUGUUGUAGGUUGUAGUUAUGAGAAUUUGAGAAUUAGGUUUUGAAGUUGUAAUUGGUUGUUAAUAGAGUAGAAAAUUCGUUGAAUUUGGUAGAAGUGAUGUUCAGAUCAUGAGUUAUUUUUAGUGCAAUGUUUUAUAUGGUUUUGAGUGCCUUAACAUGUAUAGAAAUGGUUAGAAAAGUUUUUGGAUCAAAUUUGGGCAUAGGGAAGUUAAAAUUGGGAAAACGGGGUAUUAUUAUAUCUAACUACAACGAAACCAAAAAUAUCAACAAAAUCUCAAAGAAGAUCAAAUCAGGUAUGAAUAUAUCUUUAUUAAAUUCAAAAUUUACUUUUCAGUAUCAUAGUAUUGACAUAAUAAACAACAAAGAAUAUGACCGAGGUUUCAUACUUUGAAGGAACAUCUAGUUAUUAUGCUAAUGACAUAAUAGAUAAUAAGAUAGAAGAAUCAGAUUUAUCUUUAACUGCUGAAGAAAAUUUUAAAAGAAAGUUUAAUAAAUUCAAAGAAUUUUUCUCAAGAAAAAAUAUUUUGAAAUUUGGAAUAAUGAUAGAAGAAGAAGCAAUUUCAAUUGAAAAUACUCAAGGAAAUAUAUUCAUAUCUACCAUACAAAAAACUCAAAUUGAAAAAAGAAUUGAAACAUUUUCUGAAAAAGAAAAAAGCAAAAGUGGUUAUAUUCAUAUAUCAACUAUUCAAAUUUUAAUCAAAAGUACCUUUAUGAAAGGUAUUGAUUCACCUCUAGAAAUAACCCUAGAAGACUCUAGGAUUUUAGACAAAAGACAAGCAACAAUUGCACAAGUAAAGUGUAAUUUAAAAUAUGGAAAAAUAAAAUUUGAUAUAAAUUUACAAAUGGGAUUAUCCCUAAAAGAUAAAGAUCUAGAUAGAUCUAUAGUUUUUCAUUAUAAGUUGGAAAACUCGAAUUUUAUGAAAAAGGGUAAUCAUCCUUUUACAAUAUGUUAUAGAAUUAAUUAUUCUUUAAGUAAUUCACACCAUAGCAUAGAAUUUAUAGGAAAAAAUAUAAUUCAUAUUGAUGAAUUAUUUACACCUUUAAUUACCCUAAAGUCAUCUAUAUUUAGAAAUUUAGCAAGAAAUAGUUUUUCCUUGAUAGAAGCUGAGAAAUAUAUAUUUGAAGAAACAGAAAAACCAGCCUUAGAGUAACACUACCCAAAAGAGAUUUUGAAAUCUCAGAACAAAAAGAGAUAAAUAAAUUACAAAGCUCAAGUUGUCUCUACAACUCGAAAAACUAGACAAAAGAAUUUAAAUUUUUCUAUAGAAAAAGUCUUCCGCACUCUGCUAUAACUCUGGUAUCAAAGAAAAUCUCGUUUCUAAAAAAAAUUAAAAAAAUUAAAAUAAAAAAAAAUAAAAUCUUAUGACGUCAGUUAACAUUUUAACCGACUUAAAAUGUCAUGGGUACAAAUACCCACCAUAUUGAGAUGGGUAACAAAGAAUUUCCCAAUAAAAAAUUCUGAAGUAAAUUUGCAACUUGUUUAACUCCAAAGAAUUGUCUUAGAGACUUAAAAACUUUUAUAUAUAAGGCAAUGUCAUUUUUUUUUUUAAAAAAAAAAAGCAAAAAAAACUAACAGAGAAAUUUGCAAAGCAAAAAAUUAGGAAGAAAAUUUUCAAAAAUUUGUCUAGAAGACUUGAGAAUUUUUAUGUAAGAUAUGAGAUCAUUUCUUAAAAAAAAAUAAGGAGAUUUACAACAGCUUUUUUCGCUUCAAAAUUUGCUUAAGACAACUUAAGAACUUUUUUUAUAUAUAAGAUAGGAUAGAGAUGAUCAUUUAAAAAAGAGAAAUGUUGUUUAGUACGGAAAUAUCGCCACGAAUUUUCACGGACGCGUGUAUCUAUACGUUAUCCACGCGCUGCAAAAAUGUCUUCUCUUCAACCAAUUAACACACCACCCAACGCAUUGACUUAUCAUGUACCAUCACCACUUUAUUGUUUUUUCUAUGUCUUCUCUUCAUCUCUCUCCUUCGAUCUGUUCUUUCUACAAACACAUCUUCUCCAUUGUUUAAUUUCUCUCCAUCAUCAAGAUUACUCCCUUUCUUUUCUCAACUUCAGUUUUCACAAUCUUCAUUCACACCAAAAAAACAUAAAAGAUAAUUAUUAUUUUUUUCCAAAAAAUGAAACCCAUUUUAACAUUACUGUAGUCAUCGGAUCAAACACAACAAAUAAUUUAAAUUCUCCCCUCAAAACAACAAAUAAUUUCAAUUCAAGUGAAUUUUACUUUACAAUGAGAAUUAUUCAUAAUCUGGGUUUAAAAGUGAGUAAUUAUUUUCAUAUAAAUUAACCCUGUGUGGAAGAACUGGGAAAUACAGUAGAAAAAUGAGGUCAUAUAUGGCUAAUAGGUUAGAAGAGAGGGAACAUAACAUUGGAUUAGAUGAAACAUUGUUAUCAAUCAACACAUGUAAGAAGAUGAAAUUUGAGACAUAGAUGGAUGAAGAAUUAGAAUUGUUAAUGAGAUAGGAUAAGGAUUGAACUAAAUGUGAAUGUUAUGAAGAAGAUGAAGGUGAUAUGGGAAGAUAUGAACAACGUUGUUAUGAGAGAAAAAAGGGUUUGAACUGAAUGUGAGAGAUAGAAGGUGGGUCACAGAGUCAUGAACCGAAUGAGAGGUUAUGUCUCGUUUGUUUAGGUUUGUUUAGAAUUUUUAAGCACGUGUCUGUGAAAAUUUUUGGUGGAACUCCCGUACUAAAUAGCAGUUCUCUUUAAAGAAAAGCUCAAAAAAUUAGAAUGAAAAUUCGUAACAACUUUUUUGCCUCCAAAUAGUUUUAGGGAACUUCUACGGCACACCAGUAAGUUGAGGUGUACCGAUACUCUACUUCAAAAAUCUUUAAAUUAACUACUAAUUUUAUGGAAUAAAGAGCUAUUUCAUAAGAAAAAAUAUCAUUUCAUUGUUUAUAAAAAUCAUACUAAUUUUAUUUAUAUUUUAUUGUAAAAAAUAAUUAAAAUUCUCUAAUUAUGAGUACUAAAAAUUCAGAAAAAUUUAAUUUUAUUUCGUCGAUAUUUUUGAUAAAUAAGAUUUAAUUAUUAUAAUUGUAGGUGAUAGUAAACAAUUUUUCUCUUCAAAAAAUAACACAUUUUACGAUUAAUAUAUUAAUUUGGUGUACCAAUACACUCAAAUUUUUGGAUGUACCAUAGAAUUCGCCAUAGCUUUAUACAGAAGAUAAUAUUUGCACUUAUGUUUUUAUUAUAUGAUUUUGAUGGAUAUAUAUAGUUUUUUUUUUUUUUUUUUUUUUUUUUUUUACAAUUUGAUGGAUAUAGCUCGAUAUUAUAUGAUUUUGAUGGAUAUAGAGUUUUUUCUUUUUUUUCUUUUACAAUUUGAUGGAUAUAGCUCGAUGAACCUUAAACUGAUUUUAUAUAUGUAGCCUUAGGCUACCAAUGGUUUAUAUUAUAAGUUUCAUUGGCAACAUUUUUAAUUAAUAUUUCUUUUAAAAGGCCAAACAUAUAUCUAUUGAAAUAAAUAAUCAAAACAUAAGUAGUGCUAUGAUUACAAAUCCAAAUUUAAUCUUUUCAAAAUUAGUACCUUGUGUCAAUUGAUGGGACAUCAUUACUUUCGAAUUCCAUUCGUGAGAUAUUAAACUCAGAAAAUAUGGAGAGGAUAGGAGCUUGUUAGUAAUCUCAAUCUGAGCGUGUUUGGAAUACAAAUUUUCUACCAUGAUCAACUCAUGCUCAUUACCAUAACACACCAUGAACCAAAAUUAGAACAAGUCAGUUGCAAGGAUGAGUUUGAUAACCGAUGCAAAGAUACAUAUCAAGGAGGAAAUUGCUUCGCAGACGACCGAAAUUUAAGCAAAGAACCACUAUGCCAACAAUAGUAAGCAACUUAGCUAACUCAAAAAAAAAAUUGAGUUUGUCACCAAUAAACUCAUAAAGAGUACAGUACAUUGAAUGAAACUAUGGCCGAAUAGUUGCCACUUCACUUGAAAAAGGUACAACCAAUGAACAAGAAAAAGUAAACUACUAACGAUGUUAAGAGUUCGAGGCUCCAAGUUGGGCGCAGCAACAUUGUUGGAAUAUUGGGUACCAGCAAUGAACCAGAGACCCAUCCAGCCACAAGAGCUCCAAACCUAUAAUUGUGCAAACAAAAGAAAAUAAAUAAUGGUUAAAAAAAUUAAAGGAAAAACACAAGUCGAAGCAAAUUAUACCACUCACCCGAUAACGAAUGCUCUAGCCAAACUCUUUGUCUUUUCAUUUAGGAAGUAUAUGCAAGCAGCCAAAGAGAUUGCCACCUAUAUCAAGAGAAUAGUACUGUCAAUAUGCAAUAUUUCAGGCACAUGGCAGUGAGAGAGAGCAACCCAAAUUAUCUUUUCAAUAAUGUCCCCUGACGUGACUCCAAGAAUACGUGAACGUAAGAUUAAAUUGUUCUAACUUCACACAUUCACCUGUCCUUAAUAUGCCAUUAUGCCUUGAAGGAUAUAAUGGUGAAUAGAUGGAAGAUUAUAGACUUGUAUAAUCAAAAAAAUUAUCAAUGUGCAGUCAAGUUGCAAAUCAAGAUCAAAACUAUGUUUGACUGUUAAAGUGUUAAAAACUAUAACCGAAAGUCUGAUAGCCACAAGAAAUGACCAGCUCAAUGGCUAUUCUGAAAUUCAUUUACAGCCUUUAUUGAUAACCAAAGAUAGCAGUCACUAAAGUCUUAUUAGCAAGGUAUGACAACUUGACAAAUGACAAGUACAUCAGGCAUCCUAAAGCCUAGGAAGAAAGAGUAUCCACUCUUAGUAGAUGACUUAACCAUUCAGUAUGGAGAACAAUUGUAAUUCACCCACGGUUUGAGAAAUUAAUAUAAAUUGCGAAGCGAACAUAUACCAUUUUUUUCUACAAUUUUGGAGGAAUAAUUUUCAAGUGGAAUAGUUGCAAUUUUCUAUAUUUCUGUAUUUUUUAUAUAUAAAAUACAGUUUUGUUUUCAAGAGUUGUGCAUUUGAGUAUACACUGCACAGAAAGAAAUAAUGAAAGAAAUUCAAACCAAACCUGAAAAGCAGGUCCAGUUUCAGCAGAAUUCAUUAUGCUCCAGCCACCCAUGAAGGCAAAGAGAAACAAUCUUCUCAGGAUAAUUUCAGUUGGUGGAAAUUCAACAAUGUUUAGCACAUUCUUGACCCAUGGUGGGGACUCCUCGACUUUCUUCUUCAACUUGCUUUUCAAAUUAAUUUUUGUUUUCCUCCUUUGUACGAAACUAGCCAUCAAUAUAUUUUCAAAAGCAGCCUCUAUCGAUUCUACGCUCCUCUCAUGUCCAGCAUACUGUUGCAACAGAAAAUUUCUUGACCCCCAAAUUUCUUCUUCAGAAGCAUCACGGCUAACACCAAGGCGUCGGUAAGGAUCCCAAACACUAACUCUGGGGAAUUUUGGGACAUUACCUGUACAAAAGGGUGCCCGUGUGCGCACAUAUAAAUUCAUUUAUUCCAUAAGGUGGAAAAUAGAAGACAGAAUUGUAACUAUGUAGCAGAAAUAUAGACUUCAUGAUUUUAUAUGAAUAAUAACGAUGCAAUGAUCCAAAAAUCAUCUUAAAGCAAAGGAAAUUCCAAACCACCCAGCUAGCCACCAGAAAAGGACAUAAAACUAGUAAAUGUAAUGUUGUGCUUGAGAUCGAAUAGUAGAUCUGAAGUUUUUUAUUGGACAUAAAAGAUUCUCAACCAAGAAAGGAAUAUAAAUGCUGCCAAUCUAUGCAAGCAUGACUGCUCUGCCACUGAUUACUAUGACCAUCAAAUCAAAGAUCAAGUUCCUCUUCGACAGAGCGACAGUUGGCUCCAACUAAACUCGGAGAUUGAAAUUGCAAUCCUAAUUUUUUGGCUGGUCAGGAGCACUCUCCCCGUUGUAUGGAACUUUUAUAGUGCCCCCGCAUGCCUUCCCUCUAUCCUUUCAUAAUUGAUGUUGCUUCUAUUUGUUUCCUGAAAUGACGUCCUGCUUAGCUUGGGCUAUUUCAACUUAAGUACUCACUACCCCCUCCCCAAAAAAUAACCUACAGGCAUACUUAUCAAAGCCUUGUUUGCUUCUCAUCAUGUCUUAUGAAAUGUUUAGGGAAUGAUGAUGAAUGUCUUAUAAAUAACGAUAAAUUCUAGGCAAUUGAAAUUUCAAUAUAUUUGAUAGCUUAAACAUUGAAAAUAGAACUGUCCACUAAUCUAUAUUAUAUGCCAAAGGUUGUUUGGAUGGAGGGUUUAGGAGGGGAGGGUUUACUUUUCAUUUUUAAAUUACCGACAUAAUGAAAAUGUUUUUUUAAAAAGUUAACAUAUUAACAUGAUAAAUGAUCAUAUAAUACUUCAAUCUCACUUAAUUUAUUUUACAAAAACAAGUUAUAUAGUCUGCAAUUUAAAAAAGAAAAGUAAACCCUCCCCUCCCUUCCCCUCCUAAACCCUCAAUCCAAACACACUCUAAGGGAUCAUUGCUACAUCCUGAAAGGGGGAAAGGAGGGUGGGAGCAAGGAAUCUUGACAUAAGUAAAAAAUUCAGAAGCUUAAGCAUAUGAAGUAUGAACUAGAAAAUCCAGCUUGAACUAAUGUUGCAGUGGUGUCUGGCAGUUUAUGGUGGAUUGGCUAAAAUACCACAUAUAAAUGCAGUAUCACAACCUAUGGUGCCGACAUGGUUGGUGAUGCUUCACAAAUUGCUAUGGCGGCUGUUACAAAUCCGCCAUGACCUCACCUGACAACCUGUGAUUGGCUCUAGUACAUCGAUAGCUAAUCAAGUUUAUUCGUGUAACUAAAAAACAAACCCUAAUCUCUGUUUAAAUGAUUUCUUAUUGCCUAUUAGCCAGACACAGGUUGGUGAUUUCCACCUUUACCCAGACAAGGCUCUGGAUAAAAAUGUUCACAAUAGACCUUGCUUCCAUUUAUUAUUACCAGGGCAAACCUUUAGGGUCUGUUUGGAAGAUCGGAGGGGAGGGUAGAGCUUUUGAGGGAGGGAUUUUAGAGGGAAAUAGAGAGAAAUCUUCAAUCCUUUUAAAACGAGUAAGUAUGUAGAAAAUGAUAAAUGAUUAUAGGUUUAAAUAUGCCUUUAGUCCUUGCACUUUCAUCAGAUUUUGGCAUUGGUCCCUACACUUUUUUUUGUUUGGAAUUGGUCCUUGCACUUUGUAAAAAUAUUGGUAUUGGUCCCUCUAUUAACUUUCUGUUAAAAAAAAAACACAAAACUAUUGGAAUUGGUCCUUGCACUUUGUAAAAAUAUUGGUAUUGGUCCCUCUAUUAACUUUCUGUAAAAAAAAAACCCAAAACUAUUGGUAUUGGGCCCUGCACUUUGUAAAAUAUUGGUAUUUGUCCCUGCAAUUUGUAAAAAUAUUGAUAUUGGUGCCACGUGGGCGUGAAAUGAUUGGGCCGCACUCCGUUGGUUUUGUGUUUUUUUUUUAACAGAAAGUUAACAGAGGAACCAAUACCAAUAUUUUUACAAAGUGCAGGGACCAAUACCAAACAAAAAAGUGCAGGGACCAAUGCCAAAAUCUGAUGAAAGUGCAGGGACCAAUGACACAUUUAAACCAUGAUUAUAAUAAAUAUAUUUUUAAUUUUAAGAGUAUUAUAAAUCUAAACCCUCCAAUACAUUUUUUGAUUUCCCCCAAAUUAGGGAGAUUUUGUAUUAUCAAGAAAAAUGAAAUCCCCAAAGCCCCCCCUCCCGAAAUCAUAUAUUCCUUCAACUUCCCCUUUCCUUAUUUUCAAGCCCUCUCCUCCUAAACUCCCAAAGAGACCCUUACUAUUUGCUUACAACAAGUGAAAAACUAAAAGCGGGUGCAUUUUAAACAAAAGUUCACUGUUUUAGAUACACUUCCACGAUUCAAUGGAAUAAGAGAUUUUGUUAUUAUUGUUGUGAAAAAUAAAUAAUAUAGAUAGUGAAUAUGUGAUACAUAUGAUGAAAUUGUUGAUGUUAAUAGUAUUGUAAUGAUUACUGAGCUAAGUAGCAAUAUUCGAAGAUAAAACAUAGGUGAUACCUCCAUAUGGCGUGUCUACAGCGCACUUAGUACGAAACGAAACAUGGCGAAAGGUUGUAAAAUUCCUUGUAUUUUCCCGGAGGGGACUGCAGAAAACGAAAUUCAUUAAUAACAUUAAUAUGGAAGUUGAAUUAAGGAAAAAGGGGGAAGAAGGAGUACAGUUUUUUGGAGAGGAAAGCGGUGGGGAAAUUGGGAGAUGAAAGUGAAAGAGAAGCCAUGUUGAGUAGUUGUAAUUGAGAGAGUGAAUUGCACAAGAGUUAUUUCCCAAUCCCUAAUUGAAGAGCAUGUUGCUGAACUCGCCUGGGAAAAGGAACGCGUUCUUUUCCUUUAGUUCUGCAAGAGGGAGGAACAAUAACGAUAGCAGAUUACGUUAUUAUUUUAGUGUGUAACACACCUCCAAUGCUAGACUGCGCCGUGUGCAAACUACCACACAUCCCUUUUUUUUUAAGUUCAUUGUUAAAGAAAAUGAUUAAAAUAAUUAAAGAUAAUUUUUCAAAAAGAUAAUCAAUACAGUAAAAAUUUAGAGAUAGAACUAUGAAAAAGAUAAAUCAAUUUUUUAAAAGAGUCCCUUUUUAAGAUAGUAAAUUUCAUGCUCUCUGAUACAGUUUGAUCAUUGAUACGUAAUGAGUAGUCAUAAUACUCUUUUCAUGACUAUUUUUACUAACAUAAUACACAAUCAAGAAUUGUAUUAAUAUUUUGAUAUAAUUAAAGGAUUAUUGUAUUUAUUCUCAUACAUUCAAAAAGUAAAAUGACUAUUACAUUUUCUUUAAUGUUUUCUAUUUAAAUACUUAAUAAAAAAUCUAAUUGCAAGUCAGGUAACUUAGAAAGUUGAUCUUUCAGGUCUUAGAAAGUUGAACUUUUAUAUAACAACAAUGGUGUACAUUAACGUCAGAUUUUUGCAGGUUUGGUGUUAGUUGACUAGGAGGUAAUCUUGAAGGAAUAUAAGCAUGCCUCUACAAAGUGACUUCAUAAACCAAAAUAUCAAGUUUUCCACCAAUAAAUCCUUUGGUUUCUAUGGUUGAUUUGAUUCAUUCCCAUUUAAAAAUAAGGAAAAUGUUAACUAGUGCCCGAGGGCAUUGCUUAAGGACUUUAAAUGGUAACAUUUUAUAAAAGUUUAUGUAAUAAAGCACGUCAGAAAUUAUAAAUUUUAACUUUUUUAAAGAAUAAUUACUUAACUUAAAAUAUUUAAAGAGUGCACCGGAGAUACUCGUUAUCAAGACGAUUAUAAUUAUGCACGACUGUAGCAAACAAGAAGAGCCUCAAAGAAUUCUAAUAUCCACUUUCAAGUCAUUAGGCCAUUGUGCCUAAGCCUAAUUGUUGUCCUUUUUUCUUCCUAUCUCUCUCUCUCUCUCUCUCUCCUGCCUAUACACAAUUAACCCAAAUAAACCUCUGUCAAUAUUCUAAUGAAAUGUUUAAUGUCAAGUAUACACAUGGAGUGAUAAUAAGAUGAGUUAGGGUCUUUUAGAGGGAUCAACAUAAGGAUUAGACUGAUCACAAGGAAGUGUUCAACUCCUUCAUUAUAACCACCAUUAAAAAACAUGGAGCUUGAUUAUUUUUAGUUGUGUCUGAUAUGAUGGGGGCGGCCACUAAGCGUACACGAGUGGAAGAGUUUAAAAGGGAUUUAACUUGUAUAUAAGAAAUAAUCAAAUUAAUAUAAUUUCGAGGACUUGAUUAAUCAAGGCACACAUUCACAUAUAUAUUUGCGAGAGUUCAAUGUUUGAGCGAGGAAAAAGAAUCUCAGUCAGCCCCAGGAAGAAGUUUCUGAGUAGAUUGCCUGCUGGUUGUUCCAAAACCUCCUCUAACACCUGCAGGGAUGAUUCUGGAUGGUGACAACACCUCUGCAAACGAAAAUUUAUAUGAAUCUGUUCCUAAUCUACUCUGUAACCACCCUUUGCCUCCAGAAAAUCCAUCACCAACAAUCCACGUGUUCUUAAAUCCAAGCCCUGUUAGUGUUCUAGCAACUAUCUUUGCCGAGUCCGAGUACCUAUAUUAUACGUAUUGUCCAAAAAUCAGAAGUUGAUAAACACUACAAAAAAAAGUUAGGAAAAUGCUAAUAAGUGCCCCAGGGGCACUAGUAAGCAUGACCCAAAAAGUUAAUAAGUAUUGAAAGCGUCUCAGAUGUUCAACACGUGACACCGACAUGACACCAACACGUGAGAUUACAUUCAAUAAUUCUAUUUUCUCAAAUUAUCAAGUGUCGGUGGCGUGUUCUGAGUCUGUGUCUCGUAGAUAAUCAUCCGCCAUAUAGUGAACUGAAAAUGGUUAGUUAAUAGUAAGAUAGUUUUUGAAAGGAAACCUACGAGUCCAAGAUCACAAUGUUGGUGCCUUUGUUGAUUUUCUUCAGAUAUGAAAUCUUUAAUGCUGCUAUUUCAGCUUCCACUCUCUUCACAUUCCUUACCAGUCCCCGUAUUUUGUUUGGCACUUCUUCCAAUCUGAGUUCAAAUAAAAGCAAUAAGAAGUGAUGCUCAUGCUAUGAUUAUUUGAAAUUGAUAAAAUAAGAAAAGUUGAUUACAAUGAGUAUAGGAUACACUUUAUACAUAAUAACUGAUCAUAAAGAAGGCAACAAAUCUUAACUUAAAGGUUUAGAUUGCACGAGAAUCUAAAUACAAAUUGUACUAUGAGUACUAGAUAGAGGUAAGACACUUACGGAAUGGCAACCAUCUUGUUUUUAGCACUAGACGGAAGGCGAGGAAUACCGGAUUUGUCCUUAUCCUUCUCUGACCUAAUAUCAAUCAAAAUGUAGUUUUGUGUGCAUAACAUAUCAAGUGUUUGAGCUGGUGUCAAGUCUCCUGCAAAGAAAACACAUGCAUCAUCCAAAGAAAGAAAAAUGUUGUUUGAUAUAAGGAGCUUGAAAAUUCACAAGGCCACGAUGGCUUUUAUGUAAAACCAUAUAGAAGCAUAAAAUUUGCAUCAAACCAUGUCAAGGGUAGUAGUACCUUUGUACCCGCGAAAAUUGAAGGAGAUGGCAGACCAGAUAGGAGGAAACAAGAGGUAUGCAAUGAAUAGUGCUCCAGCUGUUCCAGCAAUCACGGUAGGAUCUGAUGAAGUUAUAGUUUCCAUGGUUGAUGAGGCUAUUGGCUUGGCACCUUCAAUCACCUUGGUUGUUUGUUGUGCAGCAUCUGCCACUGUCUAAAAUCAAAGAUGAUAUCCGAAUCAGAAUGAUAAAUUAACUUGGUUUUGUAAAAGCUGUAAAUUCUAGCUUCAAGUUAGAAUCAAUUCUACUUGAGAAUAUUCAAAUAUGCGGAAAUUAGUUCUACACAUCUUAAAUCAAUUUUGACUCCUUCAAAAGUGGAACCAAGCAAAUUCUGUGUUGUAUAUAGCUUCGAAUCUCUAUAAGCGUCUAAUAUAGCAACAUCUGGUUAGAUAUUUGAAAAGAACGAUUCAAAAUCCAAAAGAACUUUUCCAGUUCACAUGAAAGUAUAUCAACCCAAAUCUCUCCAAAGGCAUGUGACAGUAUAAACAUUUAUCCACCAACUAAGGGUGCGGUUAGUAGUACAAUGGAAAGGGAUGGUGUAAAAAUGGACUUCAAACCAAACCCUCACCCUCAUAAUUGCUUUCUAUCCACCGGUGACCAUAUAAAACCAAAGACAUAAAAAAAAAUGGAAUUUGGAUCCCAAAAGUUUAUUUAGCACAUUAUAGUUCAAAUAAGACUCAAAUUCAACAUUGCAAAAACAUUACAUUCCCGAUGUUUCCAAAACAAAUGUCAUUAUCAAUCCAGAUAUAAUCGGUCUCAAAUAACAUAGGAAGAGUAUGUUUCAAUUGAUUUAAUUGAACUUAUCUACCAGCAUAAACACUUGUGAGAUUGUCUGAGAGAUCUUAUGAAAAGAACUUAUGGCAUGUUGAUAAGUUGUCUUCAACUUAUAUUCUUAAGCUCUUCAGGAUAACUUAUAACUUAUAUAAAAACAGUUUGACUUUAUUUUAUCUUUUGUUCCAGAAAUAGUUUACACAUAAACACUUAUUUAAUUAUCACUUAUACUAUAAGUGCUUAACUAAAUGAAUUAAGCAAACCUUAGCAGCUGUUUGGGUAUCAAGACCAGAGCUCUGAAGUGCUUCUUGAGCCUUCUUGGAAGCCUCAGAGAAGGCUGGGGAAGCAAUUUUCAAAGCCUCUUGUCCAGCCUGCUGCACAAUCGGCAACGCCGUAUCGAAGCCAGGCUUCAAAGCACUCCCUACAGCUUCAGCAACACGUUGUGCUGAGUCCAAAAAACCAGAACCAACCACCUGAACCUGAUCAAUAGUCUGCUCCACCUAAAUAAAAUAAAAAAUGCAUUUCUAGUUAAAGGGCAUGAAUGUAAAAUUGAAGGAAGUUGGUAAAGUUUGAAACUUUGGAAGAAAAACUUUACUUGGGUGAGAGAAGAAACAAUUUGGUCCUUGGAGAUGUUAACAGCAGCUCUAGCUUCAUUUGGAGGGGUGAAGAGAGUAAGUAGUGAAAUGGUGGUUGAUGUUGGUAAUGAUAUGCGUCUAAGUUGAGGUUUUGAGAAAGUGGUGAUUGUGUGAGGUAAGGUAGAAGGAGAUGGAAGAGAAGGUUUUGGUGUUGGUAGUGAAGACAUGGCUGUAAUCUCCAUUGCCAUUGUUAGUUGCUAGUGGUUGGUUUGGUUGAUGAUAGAGGAGUGAAGUGGAGUAGUGUUUAUGUUUGUGUUUAGUGUGAUUAGAGAUGUGUGGUUGAUAUCUAAAGAUUCGACCACUUUUUUUGUUCACCUAUGUAGCAUCUUUGUAUUUGAGGUUUCAACAUCAUCACCAUUCCACGUGGAAUUUUUGUUUUGGAGGAGAAUAUAAUUUGGGAGAUUCUCAUUGGUAGACUGAACUUGAUUUGAAUAUUUAGUAGUGUGAUGUGUGAAUAUCAUUCAUCUUUCUUCAACAGCCAUAAUUUAUGUUUAGUUAAUGGGUAGUAUAGUAAAUUCACAGUAGCCAUGCAAAUAGAUCAGACCACGUACAAAACAUGAAAAGAAAAGGGAGGAAAACAAUUCUGUUCCAAUGCAAACUUCAAUUCUUGUUCUCAAUCUUUCAACUAGGUGAGUUUUCAAUUCAAAUCUUAGAAAUGGUUUUGGGAAUGAGAAAUAGAUGAUGUUGAAAUUGGGAUUUUUAGAGAUUCUUAUGAGUUUAGUAAUUGCAUGUGUAGGAAAAGUGAUGCAUAUUGCUGUUAGUAAUAAGAAUUUCAAAUUCUGAAAGUGAAACAGUGCGUAAUGUAUGCAUGGAGGAACACAAGUUCCAAUUGAGACAGUAGAAAAAAUGAAAGGAAUCAAUUCAAAUCAUAAUGAAAGAAAGAUAAUGAAGUUUAUUUAUCUCAAAUUUAUUUAUUUAAUUUCUUAAAAAAAAAAUUUUAAAAAAAACUUAUUUAUUUAAGUGAAAUAAAAACAUGGGCCAAAAAAAACUUGCAUCCCGAAUUGGGUUUGACUGGGUAACCGAUUUUGUAAAAUUUCUAUAACUUGUCAGGUUUUUGACUUAGGGCCGUUGAUAUUCACUCACAUCACUCCCGAUCACGUUUCUAAAUUCUAAUUUUGGUUCGUUUCUUCUUCUUAAUUGAGAUUUUGUUUAAGAGAAUCUGUGAAAUUGAGUGUCUUGUCAUGUAAUUUUAAACUCUUCAUGACUUUUAUUUUUUGUUGCUUUUUCAAUUCUAGUUGAUAGUUCAAUCUUUUAUGAAAUUUUUGGGGGUUAUGGUUUAAAACCUUUUUUUUUUUGUUACAAUGAUUUAAAACCUUUGAAUUAGGGCUUUUAUUAUUAUUAAAUAUUAAAAUAAAGUAGAUUUGUUUUUAAUUUUUGGCGCUUUUACAAAUUUUGUUCUUUCUUAGUUUUGGAAUUUGAAGGAGCGUCGCUAGCAGCAGUCGAAUCACGCAAGUUCAAAUGGGUAACUCAAAUAAUCUAUUUUAUAUAUUGGUUAACAUGCACUUCAUCCAUCUGUUAUGAUGUACAUUUUGAGUUUAAAACCAUGUGAAGAUAAAAUUCUUGUUGUUUUCCUGUUUUAUGAAAAUGCAACCUCUUGAUUGAGUGUUAAUAUGCACAUGAUUUGGUUAUGUUUUUUUUAUCUUGAUUCAGUCCAUUUCAUUCUCUAUUAUUAUAUCCAAUGCCGUUCUUCUAUUCUGUUAGUUGCUAUUGUUGUUGUGCCUUGUUCCUUUUUUAACUUUCAAUCAACCAUAUUAAAAUAACCUCACCCUUUCAUUUUUUAUUUGAUCAAAACAUUAAACAGAAUUUGCUAAGGAGCAUUGUUUAAAUACAAACAAAAAUGAAGUUGCUAAGAAACAAAAAGUAAGACGCAUAGGGAGAAAGUUUCGUCUGGAGAAUGUUCGUCGUGCAAGAAACAAGAACGAAGUUGCCGCAGAGCGAGAGAAACAGUUUCUUGCUAAUAAUAAAAAAAGAGCAAGUAAGUUUUACUCAAUGCUGUAAUGAUGUAUUGAUAUGUUCUUUGCAGUUAUAUUAAUUUGGGUUAACAUGUACUUCGUCCAUCUGUUAUGAUUUACAUCUUGACUUUAAAACUAUGUGAACAUACAAUUAUUUUUGCUUUCCUGUUUUUAUGAAAAUGCAAGUUCUUGAUUGAGUGUUAAUAUACACAUAUGUUUAUCUUGCCAUUGUUGCCAGGCUUGGGAAAUUCAGCCCAUUUCAUUCUCUAUUAUCUCCUAUGGCUGUUGUGUGUUGUCUUUUUUUUAUAAGCGUUAGCGCAAUAAGAAGAGUGGAACGGGCCGGUCUCUUCUAGCUUAACCAAGUAGGUCCUGGGUUCGAAUCCAGCCUUGGGCAUGCAGCAGUGUUAAAACUCUUAGGGAGAGCCUGCCGCCCAUUUGGGUCCCACAAUGCUCGAAGAAUUAGUCUCCGUAGUUGCGCGUGGAGGAUACCCGAUUUACACCAAAAAAAAAAAAAAAAAGUGGAACACUCCGCACCCGUACGCUAAUCUAUACACCUUAUGUUCUUUUUCCUUUUUAAGUGUCAUUUUGCAAUAUUAACAUUGUAUUUUUGUACCUUUACUUUCUAUUAUACUCUUAUUUUAAUCCACCAAUAUAUUCAUAUUUUUUUCACACACUUUCUCUUUCCAAUAAAUUGAGUAUAUUAUCUUUUUUCGUAAGUCUCUCUCAUAACAAACAAUUGUUAAUUUUGAGAUAACAAGAAACAAAUUUUGUUUUUUAAAAAAAACUUUAGUUUACCAUAUAUAUAUAGUUUUAAUUAGUUUGAUUGAAAAAGAUAAGAGUAAUUAACAAAUGAUGUAAUCGACAAAUCGUACUUUUAAAAUUUCAAAAGAUUAUUAAAUAGAAAAGCUAAAUCCGCAUUCAAACGACACUUAAAAAAGAACGAACGUAAACAUAAUUAUCAAUAUUUGAAAGAAGCAAAAUUUCAUGAAAUAGCAAAUUUUUUCUAUGACGAUGCUAUAUUGAUGGUGUUUUAAAAUCAAUAACAAAAAUAAGAAUUUUUUGUUAUACUUGUUAUAUUAUUAUUGUAAAAAGAUAAAUAUAAUUCGUUGAGUUUGUUACAUUUUUUUGAAAGUUAUAAAUAUCUAUUCUUAUAAUUUUUAAUCUAUAUAAAAAAAAUUAUUUAAAAUGUAUUCCAUUAUUUUCUCCAGCAGCCGAUCGAAUUGUUUUCUGUUGCAAACAUAAAUUAUUCAGAUUGCAUAGUUUUCGGAAACUAUAACAUUUGUUACAAAAACAAAUUUACAUAUAAGAAAUUAAAAUAGAUUUACGGUACCUAAAAAAAUCAAUUUAGGUUUGCUCUCUUCCCUUCCCAUCCCAGGUUCGUUUGAGUGUAGCAAGAUGGCAAAAUUGAUCACUGUGUUAUCAAUAUUUCUAAUUGUAUUGAUAUCCAAAUGCAAUUCCUUGAUGCCAUUUUCAACUAUACAUUGUAAAUCAAUUAUAACUGAUAUGAUGGGGGAGUGUAAACCAUAUUACAUGGACCAAAAUUCACAACCAUAUGAUUCAUGUUGUUCUGCAUUUCUUACGGUUGCAUUUGUGAUAUUAAAUUGGAAGAAAUCGACAAUUUACCUUUCGAUGCCACAAACACGGCCAACUUGCUUACUCUUAGUGGAGUAUCCCUCUCCUGUCAAGGUAAAUAAUUAACUCUUAACUCUUUUAUCUUUUCUUGUUUUAUGUAUUGAUAAUUAUGUUUACAUUGUUUGAUGCUAAUAAGGUUAGUACCACUGCUCCAUCCCUCGGUACGUAAACUAUGCUUUUCUUUUAUUAGGUAUAGGGAGACACCAACCAUUUAUCUCUCGUCACUUAUAUGAACAUUUUCAAUUGUAUUUUUAUUUGUUGUCACGCCAACAUUAAUAUUUAGCUUAUAUUUGAAUUAAUCACAUCAAAAGAAAUCAAUCAAUAUAGUGUUGAAAAAGUUGAAAGGAACCUGAGUUUGAUUCCUAGAGUCACCUAUUUAAGAGAUAGUCUACUUGUGAAAAAAGAGUUAGCCAAUAUUAACUUAGUAUUAGUUGAUCCGUUUGGACCUUAGGAGAUGAUUGAUUGAUUGAGAUCUGUUGUGAAGAGCGGUUGAGCUUUAGUUCUUUUGAUGCGUGUCCUUCUCCCCUGGUCUCGGUGUACCUACAUGUUCUCCGAAGCCCAAAUCAAUAAGGAGUUCAAGAAAGUAUGUGGCUAUAUCAUGGGUAAGAAAUAUCAUACCUGACCCAAGGAUUGAGCAAGGGUAUAUAUAGUGGAUACGUAUGAUUUUAACUCAUAGUCCUUUAUCUAUAUAGCUGUCCUUAAGGGGAUGUGAGUGACAAUCAGAGUGGUCUGCUGCAUAAGAUUCAGAAUAGGAGGUGAGGAACUCUCGAUUUAGACCAUAAUCCAAUAGGAUUUAGGGCAUGUCCAUCGUAUCGUGUCACUUGCUAUUGGGGCUCAGGUCGGAACUGAUCCCAAUCGAAUUGAAUCUUGGGUCACCCCAAAACAUUAGUCUUAUAAAGGAUCCAAAAGUCUAAGCUCCAAACAAAUUUCAUCUUUCUUGAAAGCAUGUAAAUCACUUUAAAACUGAUCAUGAUUUCAACAGAGUCAAAGUUGGAAAUAGUUGUUGUAUUCAAUUAAUAGUUUUAAUGAAUUUAUGUUUGUUAUGUGAUAUUGUAGUUGAUGCUCCUAAACUAUAUGCUUUAGAGAGUUUGGUUUCCAGUUUGGCUCCUAAAAGUGCAAGUUCAUCACAGCCCCCUCCACAACAGAGUUCAAAGUCACUUUCAAGUUAUGCUCCAAAUUCUCCAUUGUUACUGACAGCACCAGCACCAAUGCAAGAGGCAAAUGACAAUGAUGUGCCAGCUCCUCCAUCACCAAAUCAAGCGCCAAUACACGUGCCAGAUGACGGUUCAAUCCAUUUUUUUCUAUUGUUAAUUUUCUUGGCGUCGGUUUUUGUGAUAUUUAGCUUGAUUAAAGUUAAUGCAGAUGCUUAUGCACAAUGAACAAAUACGACAUAGAGACGGACAUGUCGACACCAAAUGGUUGUGAAGGCUUUCAAUCAUGCUGUUGGUAUUCCUUGGAGAAUGCAAGCUAGAUGGCAAAAUUGUUUGCAAAUUUGCACCCAUAUCACUUGUAAAUGCACUCACAUUCUUAGAGAGGGAAACUUAGUAGCUGAUUCCUUAGCUAAAAAUGCACAAAAUCAUGCUAUGUUCUCCUCUCAGUGGUGGGAGCUUCCUCCCACUUUUGUGCAGUCUUUGCUUUUUAGAGAUAGUUUAAGUUUGCCUUUUUCUAGAAUUUCUAUGGACUAAUCUUUGUUAUAGGUUCAGGCCUCUCCUGUUUUUUUAAUAAAUUUCCCUGCUUGAUCAAAAAAAAAAAUAUAUCAACCCAAAUCUCUCCAAAGGCAUGUGACAGUAUAAACAUUUAGUAGUACAAUGGAAAGUGAUGGUGUAAAAAUGGACCUCAAACCAACACUCACCGUCAUAAUUGCUUUCUAUCCACUGGCGACCAUAUAAAACCAAAGACAUAAAAGAGCUUGUGUAUGGAAUUUGGAUCCCAAAUGUUUAUUAAGUACAUUAUAGCUCAAAUAAGACUCUAAUUCAACAUUACAAAAACAUUACAUUCCCCUAAAUGUGUUAACUAACAUUGCCAUGACACAGAUAAAUGUUACCAAAACAAAUGUCAUUAUCAACCCGGAUAUAAUUGGUCUCAAAUAACAGAGGAAGAGUAUGUUUGAAUUGAUUUAUUUGAGCUUAUGUACUAGUAUAAAAACUUGUGAGAUUGUCUGAAAGAGUUUAUAAACAGAACUUAUGACAUGUUGAUAAGUUGUUUUCAACUUAUAUUCAUAAGCUCUUCGGGAUAACUUAUGAAAACAACUUACUUGUAUAAAAACAGUUUGGCUUUAUUUUUUCUUUUGUUCUAGAAAUAGCUUACACAUAAACACUUAUAUAAUUAUCGCUUAUACUAUAAGUGCUUAACUAAAUUGAUUAUCCAAACGGUCCCAAUCCCAAAAAUCAAUGAAUUAAGCAAACCUUAGCAGCAGUUUGUGUAUCAAGACCAAAGCUCUGAAGUGCUUCUUGGACGCCUCAGAGAAAGCUGGAGAAGCAAAUUUCAAGGCCUCUUGUCCAGCCUGCUGCACAAUUGGCAACGUCGUAUCGAAGCCAGGCUUCAAAGCACUCCCUACAGCUUCAGAAACAUGUUGUGCUGAGUCCAAAAAACCAGAACCAACCACCUGAACCUGAUCAAUAGUCUGCUCCACCUAAAUAAAAUAAAAAAUGCAUUUCUAGUUAAAGGGCAUGAAUGUAAAAUUGAAGGAAGUUGGUAAAGUUUGAAACUUUGGAAGAAAAACUUUACUUGGGUGAGAGAAGAAACAAUUUGGUCCUUGGAGAUGUUGACAGCAGCUCUAGCUUCAUUUGGAGGGAUGAAGAGAGUAAGUAGUGAAAUGGUGGUUGAUGUUGGUAACGAUAUGCGUCUAAGUUGAGGUUUUGAGAAGGUGGUGAUUGUGUGAGGUAAGGUAGAAGGAGAUGGAAGAGAAGGUUUUGGUGUUGGUAGUGAAGCCAUAGCUGCAAUCUCCAUCGCCAUUGUUGGAAGAGUGAAGUGGAGUAGUGUUUGUGUUUGUGUUUGUAGUGUGAUUAGAGAUGUGUUGCCAAUUUUGUUCUUUCACAUCAGUUGCGGCCUCUGUUUGAAGUUUGAAUUACGAGCGUUUCCAGCAGCAGUUGCAUCUAACAAGCAAAAAUGGGUAAGUCAAUCACCUUUUUUCAUCUUGGUUAACAUGCACUUAAUCCAUCUGUUAUGAUUUACCUUAUGAGUUUAAAACCAUGUGAAGAUACAAUUCUUUUUGUUUUCCUUUUUUAUGAAAAUGCAACCUCUUGAUUGAGUGUUAAUAUGCACAUAAUUUGGUUAUGUUUAUUAUCUUGAUUGAUUCAGUCCAUUUCAUUCUCUAUUAUUAUUUUCUUUGCAGUUAUGUUGGGUUAACAUGUACUACUUGAUCCAUCUGUUAUGAUUUACGUUUUGACUUUAAAACUAUGUGAAGAUACAAUUAUUCACAAAUAAGUUUUCCUGUUUUAUGAAAAUCCAAGUUCUUGAUUGAGUGUUAAAAUGCACAUAUGUCUAUCUUGCCGUUGUUGCCAGACUUGGGAAAUUCAGCCCAUUUCAUUCUCUAUUAUCUCCUAUGGCUGUUGUGUGUUGUCUUUUUUUUUCUUUCUUUCUUUUUAACACUUUCAGCCAUAUUAAAAUAACCUCACCUUCAUUUCUUAUUUCAUAAAAACAUUAAACAGAAUUUGGUAAGAAGCGUAGUUCAAAAAACAACAAAAAUGAAGUUGGUAAGGAGCAUAGAUGCAGAGUUUCGUUUGAUGUUCAAGAAAAAGGGACUAAGUAAGUUUACUCAAUGCUGUAAUGUUGUAUUAAUUAAUAUAUUAUUUGCAGUUAAAUUAAUUUGAGUUAACAUGCACUCCAUCCAUCUGUUAUGAUUUAGAUUGACUUUAAAAUCAUUUGAAGACACAAUUCUUUCUGCUUUCCUGUUUUAUAGAAAUGCAACCUCUUGAUUGAAUGUUAAUAUGCACAUAAGUUGGUUAUGUUUAUCUUGGUAUUGCGGCCAUACUUUGGAAAGGUUAUGCUUAUCUUGGUAUUGUUUCCAUACUUUAGAAAUUCAGCUCAUUUAAUUGCUCCAUCCAUUCCAAUGAUAAGUUGUUUUGACAGAUUAAGAAAUGCAAUUAAUGUUCUAUAGAAAAAUGAAAGUAUAUAGGGAAGAGAAAUUUGAAAUAUUGAAAGAAGAGAGAAUAUUAAAAAGUGAAGGGUAUAAUAGAAAAUGACUUAUAAUUUGGGACGGGAGGAGCAAUUAAAUGAUGUCUUCUAUUUUGUUUUUGGUUAUUAUGCCUCAUCUUUUUCUUUUUUCAAGUUUCAGCCAUAUGAAAUUAUCUCACCCUUUCGUUUUUUAUUUUUUGAAAACAUUUAACAGAUGGAUACCUAUUCCUCAUACGUGUGAUUGCUACAAGAUGCAUCUUAAGGCAAGUUCUUCUGGAAAUCUUAACUAUGUUUAUGAGGCCUUUAGCAUUGCUUUUUAAAUAAGUUUUAGAAAAAUAGUUUCUUUGUGCAUACUUGAAUUCCAUAAUAUCAAUUUCCAAACCAACAUUUGGACUCUGUCAAUGAUGAUUUUACUCAUUUGGAUUCGGAUGAUGAACAGUUUCGUGAGAAUGCUUUACCGGAGAAGGAAGAGUUGGAGGCUGAUAUUGAUAGUGAUGUGGCUACUACAUUAGUUGAUGAAAGCAGUAAGAGUACUUUCUGCAUGUUUGUUGAACUGUAUUACUGUCUGUCUCUUUGAAAGACAAACAUCAAUUUUAGUGGAUGGUCAUUGAAUUACAUGUGAAUGAUGUAAACUAGUCUUACACCCGAUCGAUUUUUUUUUUCCUUCAAUUAAAUAAUUACAUAAAAUAAUUUAUAUUUUAAACUGUUUUAAAUUUAUCAUAAUAGUUUAAGAGUAAACAAAAUAAAAUCACACAUAAAAGUACAAAUUUUAAUAAUCAUAGUUUAAGAUGGUCUUAAAAUAAGAAUAACAGUAAAAAAGAGUACAUUGUGGCCAAAGCAUUCCAUCUCAAUCAUAAAUCAUAAUUGACCUACGUCUCUCUUUUUCUUUUACUGUAGAUAUUCGUCUCUACUCUAGACAUUUUUUAUAUGCAAAGGACUCGUAAUUCUAUGAUAAACUUACUCCAAAGCCUUGCAAUAAACAUCAUUCAUAAUGUAUUUAUUAGUUGUACCAAAGUUAGUUACUCCAAACCUUGCCUAAAGUUACCCAUUACAUAAAUUUACACAUCACAUAAAUACCAAUUAAUACUGGUAUUCUUAUAGUCAUAUGAUAUCUACAAAUUUUUCCCACAAUCUGUCUAUGUCUAAAUUUUUAUUGAUAUCAUUCAUGUCGUCCUGUCUUAAAAGAGAGACCAACCCACCAAGAUAGCUGCAGCAUGUUAGACAAAAAAUAAGCACUGGAAUGAAAAAUCCUAAUACAAUAUACCAUCAUAAUGUGUUAUGCAUACUAAGUAGUUUAGAGGGAUGGUUAGUUUGUUUUUCUGUUAGGUUAGUUUGUUAUCCUUACAUGUUUCAUUCUAGUUAGUAAUUUUCAGCUCAAGUCCACUUUGUAUCUUAAGUAGAGUGCAAGCAAAAAACUACAAUUUUCACCUAUAAAAUAGAAUUUGAUAAACACAAAUCAAGAUAAUCCAACAAGAAAAGUUAUUCAUACUGAUUCAAUUCACAGUGCGUCAGAAUUAAGAGAUUAUUAAUUAUAUACUUAGUAUAAUUGCCAAGAGCAUACUUGGAGGAACUAAAAAUGACAAACAGAGACACCCAUUAUGUGACAAAUAUUCAAAUAUUAAUUUUUAAUUUGAAUAUGAAAUUAAAAGAAGCAUGUGGGUUCUGUUUGUUUUCGGGCUUUUGAGGUGUGAAAUUUGUUUGUAGGCUGUUGGAAUUUUGUCUAUGGGGUACUUGUCAUUUAAACACAGUUCAUUUUCAAAUAUAUUAUUA
rnacentral:lncRNA from 1 species